UAAGUAGAUAGUGAAAUCUGGUGGCUCAACCAUUCAGACUGUUAUCUAAACUGUUCAGCUUAGAGAGCGUUAGGGGUAGCUGGAAUUUCUAGUGUAGGAGUGAAAUCCGUAGAUAUUAGAAAGAACACCGAUAGCGUAGGCAGGCUACUGGGACGUUUCUGACACUAAGGCACGAAAGCGUGGGGAGCAAACGGGAUUAGAUACCCCGGUAGUCCACGCUGUAAACGAUGGAUACUA
rnacentral:rRNA from 1 species